CGAAAUUGUUGUUUAAGUUAUUUCUUUUUUUUUAAUUUUAUUUUUUGCAAAAUUUGCUGUUUUAUUUCUUCUUCUUUUUUUUUGUCGAAAUUUUCUGUUUUUUUUUGUCUUGUUUUAUUUCUUUCUUCUUUAUUUUUUUAAAAAAAAUUUGCUGUUUAUUUCUUCUUUUGGGCGUAUUUUUCUGUUUUUUUUUUCUUUCAAAUAUUAGGCUUUAUUUAUUAAUGUAGAUAAUGUCAUUUAUUAACAAAAAUAUUGUCAUUUAGAUAUUUUAAAAGUGUUUUAUACUAACAAAAAUAGUGUCAAUGUUAUAGUUUAUAUAUAUGAAGCAUACCGUUUUUAGUAUUUUAUUUCAACUUUUGUCUAGUGUUAUUUAUAUAUUUUUAAAGUGUUUUUUACUAAUAAAAAUAGUGUCAAUGUUAUAGUUUAUAUAUAUGAAGCAUAC
rnacentral:lncRNA from 1 species